CCCUAACUUUUUCUCUCUACUCCUUCGACCUCAUCCAUUGCUCACCGACGCGUUUCACUCCAUAGCUCUCCACUGCAGCUGCAACGUCCACCGUGGCUAAAGCGUCCGCCGCGGCUUCUCCUCCGCAGCUUUGGGUUAGAUUUCUCGGCCACCACCGAGCACCCAUCGCGCUACCGCUCUGCCGCUCGCAUUUCCGCCGUUGCCGCCGUUUACGUCGUUGCCGCUUCCGUCGUCGUCGGUGUUUUCUGCUCGUCAAAUUUGGAACGAAGGAGUAAGCAGCAACCCCAAACCUUAACCCUAACUUUGACCUUCCAAUUCUUCCUCUGCUUCUUCCUUCAGGUUAUAUGAGAUGAAACUCUAUGUGUAAAAUUAAAAAUUGUAUCCAAUUUCAAAAGCUCCUCCGCGGCUCCUCCUCCGUGGCUCCUCCUCCGCGGCUUCUCUCUUAUUCUUCAUUGGUAAAACAGCAAUUUUGGAGGUUGAAACAAAAAGUUAUGAGAAAGAAUCUGGUGAUUUAUUAUGCAUGAACAGGUCCACUGUCUAUCUACGUGGUGCUGGUGGCUUCUGAAACUCGUCUAAACCAUUUUCUUACUCAAACUACCCCUUGAACCGGACUUCAGCUGUAAAAAUUCCUGAUAGUAAACCCUUUUCAGUGUUUGAAGAUCAUACCCAAGCAUCUCAG